rnacentral:lncRNA from 1 species
AAAUAAUUCAUUUAAAUAUAUUAUUUUAAUAAUAUAUUAACGAUGAUAUUUUUAUAAUGAAUGUGGGAUAUAUGAGUAUAUGAGGAGGUAGAGUAUUUUGUGGCAUUAAAUGUUUAACAUAUGUUUUGUGUGUCGGUGGACACAAUUCUUGACCAAAAAAUUGAUUAUAGACUGUAAAAUCGCUCAUUUAUGGAUUUCGGAUAAUUUCUGUUUGGAAUUUGGAAAAUCUUCCUUCUGUAAAGUUGUAGAGAAUUGAAUUUCCUAUAAAAAGUCGCGAGAUUCGAAUUUUCUGAUAAAAGGGC